rnacentral:rRNA from 1 species
AGUGAACGCUGGCGGUAGGCCUAACACGUGCAAGUCGAACGGCAGCACAGGAGAGCUUGCUCUCUGGGUGGCGAGUGGCGGACGGGUGAGGAAUACAUCGGAAUCUACUCUGUCGUGGGGGAUAACGUAGGGAAACUUACGCUAAUACCGCAUACGACCUACGGGUGAAAGCAGGGGACCUUCGGGCCUUGCGCGAUUGAAUGAGCCGAUGUCGGAUUAGCUAGUUGGCGGGGUAAAGGCCCACCAAGGCGACGAUCCGUAGCUGGUCUGAGAGGAUGAUCAGCCACACUGGAGCUGAGACACGGUCCAGACUCCUACGGGAGGCAGCAGUGGGGAAUAUUGGACAAUGGGCGCAAGCCUGAUUCAGCCAUACCGCGUGGGUGAAGAAGGCCUUCGGGUUGUAAAGCCCUUUUGUUGGGAAAGAAAUCCAGCUGGCUAAUACCCGGUUGGGAUGACGGUACCCAAAGAAUAAGCACCGGCUAACUUCGUGCCAGCCGCCGCGGUAA